rnacentral:rRNA from 1 species
CCUACGGGUGGCAGCAGUGGGGAAUAUUGCACAAUGGGGGAAACCCUGAUGCAGCGACGCCGCGUGAGUGAAGAAGGACUUCGGUAUGUAAAGCCCUAUCAGCAGGGAAGAAAAUGACGGUACCUGAUUAAGAAGCCCCGGCUAACUACGUGCCAGCAGCCGCGGUAAUACGUCGGGGGCAAGCGUUCUCCGGAUUUACUGGGUGUAAAGGGAGCGUAGACGGCAGCACAAGUCUGGAGUGAAAUGCCGGGGCUUAAACCCGGAACUGCUUUGGAAACUGUGCAGCUAGAGUGCAGGAGAGGUAAGUGGAAUGCGUGGUGUAGCGGUGAAAUGCGUAGAUAUUAGGAGGAACACCAGUGGCGAAGGCGGCUUACUGGACUGCAACUGACGUUGAGGCACGAAAGCGUGGGGAGCGAACAGGAUUAGAUACCCGAGUAGUC